rnacentral:rRNA from 1 species
UACGGAGGGUGCAAGCGUUAUCCGGAUUCACUGGGUUUAAAGGGUGCGUAGGUGGGUUGGUAAGUCAGUGGUGAAAUCCCCGAGCUUAACUUGGGAACUGCCAUUGAUACUAUCAAUCUUGAAUACUGUGGAGGUCAGCGGAAUAUGUCAUGUAGCGGUGAAAUGCUUAGAUAUGACAUAGAACACCAAUUGCGAAGGCAGCUGGCUACACAAUUAUUGACACUGAGGCACGAAAAGCGUGGGGAUCAAACAGG